rnacentral:rRNA from 1 species
AUUGAACGCUGGCGGAAUGCUUUACACAUGCAAGUCGAACGGCAGCGGACCUUCGGGUGCCGGCGAGUGGCGAACGGGUGAGUAAUGCAUCGGAACGUGCCAUUGAGUGGGGAUAACGUAGCGAAAGUUGCGCUAAUACCGCAUAUUCUGUGAGCAGGAAAGCAGGGGACCGCAAGGCCUUGCGCUCUUUGAGCGGCCGAUGUCAGAUUAGCUAGUUGGUGAGGUAACGGCUUACCAAGGCGACGAUCUGUAGCGGGUCUGAGAGGAUGAUCGCCACACUGGAACUGAGACACGGUCCAGACU